UGAUUCCCCUAGUAACGGCGAGUGAAGAGGGAAAAGCUCAAAGUUGGAACCUGGCUGUCCUAGAUAGUCCGGAUUGUAAACUAAAGAGCGUGAAUCCAGGCAAGCCGGUUGACAAAGUCCUUUGGAAUGAGGCGCCACUGAGGGUGAGAGCCCCGUAAGUCGACUGAGCAUUUGUCUUUUGUGUUUCGCGUUCAAAGAGUCAGGUUGUUUGGGAAUGCAGCCUAAAGCUGGUGGUAAAUCCCACCUAAAGCUAAAUACAGGCGAGAGACCGAUAGCGAACAAGUACCGUGAGGGAAAGAUGAAAAGUACUUUGAAAAGAGAGUUAAACAGUAUGUGAAAUUGCCAAGAGGGAAGCAUUUGGAGUUAGACUGACUUGAAGUCAAUCAACUUGGUCUUUGGACUGGGUGUACUUGGCUUUUAUGUCUGCCAACAGCAGUUAGUUCUGGUGGAAAAAACUAGAGGGAAGGUAGUCCUUCGGGAUGUUUAUAGACCUUUAGAAAAUACAUCGGAAUUGACUGAGGAAUGCAGUAGAUGCUAUUAGGCUUCGUCUUGUGGGUGUUGGGUAAAGGUACUAGGUGUUUUCAGCUUGCUGAUGCGCUUGGUGCCCGAGUCCAUCCAUUCACAAGUACUGUAAUC
rnacentral:rRNA from 1 species